rnacentral:rRNA from 1 species
CAGUCGCCGCGGGAACACGUAGGUGGCAAGCGUUGUCCGGAAUUAUUGGGCGUAAAGGGCUCGCAGGCGGUUUCUUAAGUCUGAUGUGAAAGCCCCCGGCUCAACCGGGGAGGGCCAUUGGAAACUGGGAAACUUGAGUGCAGAAGAGGAGAGUGGAAUUCCACGUGUAGCGGUGAAAUGCGUAGAGAUGUGGAGGAACACCAGUGGCGAAGGCGACUCUCUGGUCUGUAACUGACGCUGAGGAGCGAAAGCGUGGGGAGCAAACAGGAUUAGAUACCCCAGUAGUCCCUGUCUCUUAUAC